GACGAGCGCUGGCGGCGUGCUUAACACAUGCAAGUCGAACGGAAAGGCCCUGCUUUUGUGGGGUUCUCGAGUGGCGAACGGGUGAGUAACACGUGUGUAACCUGCCCUUGACUUUGUGAUAACUUCAGGAAACUGGUGCUAAUACCGGAUAGGAUCUCCUGCUGCAUGUUGGUGUUUGGAAAGUUUCGGCGGUUGGGGAUGGACUCGCGGCUUAUCAGCUUGUUGGUGGGGUAGUGGCUUACCAAGGCUUUGACGGGUAGCAGGCCUGAGAGGGUGACCGGCAACAUUGGGACUGAGAGACGGACCAGACUGCAACGGGAGGAAGCAGUGGGGAAUAUUGCAAAAUGGGAGGAAGCCGGAUGAAGAAAAGCGGCGUGCGGGAUGAAGGCCUUCGGGUUGUAAACAGAUUUCGAAUGUGACGAAGAGUGAGUGACGGUAAUGGGUAAAGAAGCACCGGCUAACUACGUG
rnacentral:rRNA from 1 species